rnacentral:rRNA from 1 species
AUAACGUGAUUAAGUUAUUAAGGGCGCACGGUGGAUGCCUUGGCACUAGAAGCCGAUGAAGGACGUUACUAACGACGAUAUGCUUUGGGUAGCUGUAAGUAAGCGUUGAUCCAGAGAUUUCCGAAUGGGGGAACCCAGCACAAGUUAUGUUGUGUUAUCGACAUGUGAAUACAUAGCAUGUCCGAAGGCAGACGCGGAGAACUGAAACAUCUUAGUACCCGCAGGAAGAGAAAGAAAAAUCGAUUCCCUGAGUAGCGGCGAGCGAAACGGGAAGAGCCCAAACCAAUGAGCUUGCUCAUUGGGGUUGUAGGACACUCUAUACGGAGUUACAAAGGAAUAAAUUAGACGAAUCACCUGGAAAGUUGAACCAGAGAAGGUAAAAGUCCUGUAGUCGAAAGUUUAUUCUCUCUUGAGUGGAUCCUGAGUACGACGGAGCACGUGGAAUUCCGUCGGAAUCCGGGAGGACCAUCUCCCAAGGCUAAAUACUCUCUAGUGACCGAUAGUGAACCAGUACCGUGAGGGAAAGGUGAAAAGUACCCCGGAAGGGGAGUGAAAGAGAACUUGAAACCGUGUGCUUACAAGUAGUCAGAGCCCGUUAAUGGGUGAUGGCGUGCCUUUUGUAGAAUGAACCGGCGAGUUACGAUCUGAUGCAAGGUUAAGCAGCAAAUGCGGAGCCGCAGCGAAAGCGAGUCUGAA